rnacentral:misc_RNA from 1 species
GCUGCCCCCGCAACGGUAAGCGAACGCACGCGCCCAGCGCGUUGCAGCGCCGCUUCGCCGCAUGCCCAGCGCAUGCGGACGACCGCCACUGGAUGCCGCGCAUCCGGGAAGGCGAAGCGGCGUGUUCGUCAGCCCGGAUACCGGCCAGAACGUGGGGUUCAGCG